rnacentral:lncRNA from 1 species
GUGAUUGACAGAUGAGUAUGUCUCUGCAGCAUAGGUCAAGAAGCACAGUGUGCCACUACACCGGGUCAACUGAUGCAGCACUUGGCUGACGCAGCAGGGUCCUGAGCAGGGGUUGUCUGUAGAAGUUCACUUCACAACAAAAUAGUUCAACUUGAAUGUUCUGCAUCGUCAUUCAACAGACAUUAACACAUGAGCUGCACAGGCUCUCCUGACGGUACUUCUGGGAGUCCUAGUGCAGCUAGUACACUGCUUAUAGACUCCCUCCAAUCUCUUGCUAUUCUGCGGCACUGCACUGUGAAGGAGCGAGUCAUUAUGGGAACAGGCG